GCCUGGGUGGCUCAGUUGGUUGAGCGUCCCACUUCGGUUGAGGUCAUGAUCUCACGGUUCGUGAGUUCGAGCCCCACGCCAGGCU
rnacentral:tRNA from 1 species